rnacentral:rRNA from 1 species
CAGUCGCCGCGGUAAUACAGAGGGUGCGAGCGUUAAUCGGAUUUACUGGGCGUAAAGCGUGCGUAGGCGGCUUCUUAAGUCGGAUGUGAAAUCCCUGAGCUUAACUUGGGAAUUGCAUUCGAUACUGGUUAGCUAGAGUGUGGGAGAGGAUGGUAGAAUUCCAGGUGUAGCGGUGAAAUGCGUAGAGAUCUGGAGGAAUACCGAUGGCGAAGGCAGCCAUCUGGCCUAACACUGACGCUGAGGUACGAAAGCAUGGGGAGCAAACAGGAUUAGAUACCCCGGUAGUCCCUGUCUCUUAUAC